GACGAACCGAGCGAACGUUGUUCGGAAUCACUGGGCUUAAAGGGCGCGUAGGCGGGUGCUCAAGUCUGUGGUGAAAUCCUCCGGCUCAACCGGAGAACUGCCAUGGAUACUGGGUGUCUCGAGGGUGGUAGGGGUAUGCGGAACUAUCGGUGGAGCGGUGAAAUGCGUUGAUAUCGAUAGGAACUCCGGUGGCGAAGGCGGCAUACUGGACCACAUCUGACGCUGAGGCGCGAAAGCGUGGGGAGCGAUCCGG
rnacentral:rRNA from 1 species